rnacentral:rRNA from 1 species
GAGAGCGGCGCACGGGUGCGUAACGCGUAUGCAACAUGCUUUAUGCAGGGGGAUAGCCCGGGGAAACCCGGAUUAAUACCCCAUAGAUCAGUGGUAUCGCAUGGUACAACUGGUAAAGAUUCAUCGGCAUAAGAUGGGCAUGCGUCUGAUUAGCUAGUUGGUAGGGUAACGGCCUACCAAGGCGACGAUCAGUAGGGGUUCUGAGAGGAUUAUCCCCCACACUGGUACUGAGACACGGACCAGACUCCUACGGGAGGCAGCAGUGAGGAAUAUUGGUCAAUGGGCGCAAGCCUGAACCAGCCAUCCCGCGUGAAGGAUGAAUGCCUUAUGGGUUGUAAACUUCUUUUGUACCUGAAGAAACUCUGGGUCGUGACCUGGACUGCCGGUAGGGUACGAAUAAGCAUCGGCUAACUCCGUGCCAGCAGCCGCGGUAAUACGGAGGAUGCAAGCGUUAUCCGGAUUUAUUGGGUUUAAAGGGUGCGCAGGUGGUUGAAUAAGUCAGUGGUGAAAGUCUGCCGCUUAACGGUAGGAUUGCCAUUGAUACUGUUUGACUUGAGUUUAGGUGAGGUAGGCGGAAUGUGUAGUGUAGCGGUGAAAUGCAUAGAUAUUACACAGAACACCGAUUGCGAAGGCAGCUUACUAAUCUACAACUGACACUGAGGCACGAAAGCGUGGGGAUCAAACAGGAUUAGAUACCCUGGUAGUCCACGCUGUAAACGAUGAUCACUCGCUGUUUGCGAUAUACAGUAAGCGGCUAAGCGAAAGCGAUAA